GAUGAACGCUGGCGGCGUGCUUAACACAUGCAAGUCGAACGGAAAGGCCCAAGCUUGCUUGGGUACUCGAGUGGCGAACGGGUGAGUAACACGUGGGUGAUCUGCCCUUCACUUCGGGAUAAGCCUGGGAAACUGGGGCUAAUACCGGAUAGGACCACUUCUUGGAUGUUGUGGUGGAAAGAUUUCUCGGUGUGGGGUGAGCUCGCGGCCUAUCAGCUUGUUGGUGGGGUAAUGGCCUACCAAGGCGUCGACGGGUAGCCGGCCUGAGAGGGUGUACGGCCACAUUGGGACUGAGAUACGGCCCAGACUCCUACGGGAGGCAGAAGUGGGGAAUAUUGCACAAUGGGCGCAAGCCUGAUGCAGCGACGCCGCGUGGGGGAUGACGGCCUUCGGGUUGUAAACUCCUUUCGCUAGGGACGAAGCGUUUUUGUGACGGUACCUGGAGAAGAAGCACCGGCUAACUACGUG
rnacentral:rRNA from 1 species